UAAUUUUGAAAACAACCAAAAAAACCACAUGCACAUAAAAAAAAUCAGAAUUCAUGUAAAUUAUAACUAGAAUAUUAAAAAUAUAUGACAAUUUAUCCAUCCCUUCACCAUGGUUCAAAUAUCAGUCCUAGGAUCAUUGUUAAAAAGUUUUGGAUUAUCAAGUUGCCAUGUCGGGGACACUUUCGAACAAUAUGCGCUGCUGCUGCAAGGCGACGGUCACUUAAGUUUUUUCUCCACUCCUCAUUGACAUAGCGUACCACAACUUCAUGUUGCCUGAAAUACAAAAAGAAAUAAGUUAGCUAGCAUCAGUUCAAGGUCUCACUACACUAUUUCUUAGUACGAUCAUAUUGACAUGGAACAGUAUGAGGCAACAUAUGAUGUAUGCACUGUGCAUAACAAAAUUAAGAUUGCAUUGCUUGCCACAAGACUGUUCAGGAACCCAACCAAUAUGCUUGAAAAUGUGCAAUCUGAUGGUGCAUUGUGCAAAUUAACAUGAACCCAAUCACAUGACCUAAUCAUACAUUCUUAAGAAGUUGAUCCCCACUACUAGCAAUUCUCUCUACAUGCGCACUGUCCACAUCAUCAUGAU
rnacentral:lncRNA from 1 species